AUGAACGCUGGCGGCGUGCCUAAUACCUGCAGGUCGAGCGAACAGACGAGGAGCUUGCUCCUCUGACGUUAGCGGCGGACGGGUGAGUAACACGUGGAUAACCUACCUAUAAGACUGGGAUAACUUCGGGAAACCGGAGCUAAUACCGGAUAAUAUAUUGAACCGCAUGGUUCAAUAGUGAAAGACGGUUUUGCUGUCACUUAUAGAUGGAUCCGCGCCGCAUUAGCUAGUUGGUAAGGUAACGGCUUACCAAGGCAACGAUGCGUAGCCGACCUGAGAGGGUGAUCGGCCACACUGGAACUGAGACACGGUCCAGACUCCUACGGGAGGCAGCAGUAGGGAAUCUUCCGCAAUGGGCGAAAGCCUGACGGAGCAACGCCGCGUGAGUGAUGAAGGUCUUCGGAUCGUAAAACUCUGUUAUUAGGGAAGAACAAAUGUGUAAGUAACUAUGCACGUCUUGACGGUACCUAAUCAGAAAGCCACGGCUAACUACGUG
rnacentral:rRNA from 1 species